UACAGAGGGUGCAAGCGUUAAUCGGAAUUACUGGGCGUAAAGCGCACGUAGGCGGUUGUUUAAGUUGGAUGUGAAAGCCCCGGGCUCAACCUGGGAAUUGCAUUCAAAACUGGACAACUAGAGUGUGUGAGAGGGGGGUAGAAUUCCAAGUGUAGCGGUGAAAUGCGUAGAGAUUUGGAGGAAUACCAGUGGCGAAGGCGGCCCCCUGGCACAACACUGACGCUCAGGUG
rnacentral:rRNA from 1 species